UAGGUGUAGCAAGUGGUUGCUUAGAAAUAAGAGGAAAGUCCGAGCUGCUUUGGGAUAGGAUUCCAUUUAAAGAAUGGCUAGAGCAAUCUAAGGGAAAGCGCAACAGAAAAUAAACUACCCGCAUAAAAGUGUGGGCAAGGGUGAAAAGGUGAGGCAAGAGCUUACCGGAAACAUUGUAAAAUGUUUCGCAUUGCAAGCCCAAUCUGCAGCAAAAUGGGCAUGGUUAAUAUCCCAAAAUUCAAGCCCAUUGCUAGAGUUUUGCUGCAAGGCAAAAUGUAGAUAAAUAACCACAUAAACAGAACUCGGCUUAUAGCUACACCUAAAGG
rnacentral:RNase_P_RNA from 2 species